rnacentral:misc_RNA from 1 species
GCAAACUUGGUCAUUUAGAGGAAGUAAAAGUCGUAACAAGGUCUCCGUUGGUGAACCAGCGGAGGGAUCAUUACCGAGUUUACCAACUCCCAAACCCCGAUGCGAACUUACCGUCCUACCGUUGCUUCGGCGGUGCCGCCCCGGGCGCGGGCCUCUCGAAGGCCGCCAGCCCCGGACCCAGGCGCCCGCCGGGGGACCCCCCAAACCCCUCUGCACCCGCCUGGCGGGAUCUAUUCAUUUCUGAGCCGACCGCUCCUCGCGAGCGGGAGGCGAGACAAACCAAAAAAAGAAAACGAAUCAAAACUUUCAACAACGGAUCUCUUGGCUCUGGCAUCGAUGAAGAACGCAGC